UGGGGAAUAUUGCGCAAUGGGGGAAACCCUGACGCAGCAACGCCGCGUGAUUGAAGAAGGUCUUCGGAUUGUAAAAAUCUUUUAUCAAGGACGAAGAAGUGACGGUACUUGAUGAAUAAGCUCCGGCUAACUACGUGCCAGCAGCCGCGGUAAUACGUAGGGAGCAAGCGUUAUCCGGAUUUACUGGGUGUAAGGGCGUGUAGGCGGAGAAGCAAGUCAGAAGUGAAAUCCAUGGGCUUAACCCAUGAACUGCUUUUGAAACUGUUUCCCUUGAGUAUCGGAGAGGCAGGCGGAAUUCCUAGUGUAGCGGUGAAAUGCGUAGAUAUUGGGAGGAACACCAGUGGCGAAGGCGGCCUGCUGGACGACAACUGACGCUGAGGCGCGAAAGCGUGGGGAGCAAACAGGAUUAGAUACCCUGGUA
rnacentral:rRNA from 1 species